rnacentral:rRNA from 1 species
AUUGAACGCUGGCGGCAGGCCUAACACAUGCAAGUCGAGCGGAUGAAGGGAGCUUGCUCCUGGAUUCAGCGGCGGACGGGUGAGUAAUGCCUAGGAAUCUGCCUGGUAGUGGGGGAUAACGUCCGGAAACGGGCGCUAAUACCGCAUACGUCCUGAGGGAGAAAGUGGGGGAUCUUCGGACCUCACGCUAUCAGAUGAGCCUAGGUCGGAUUAGCUAGUUGGUGGGGUAAAGGCCUACCAAGGCGACGAUCCGUAACUGGUCUGAGAGGAUGAUCAGUCACUGUAACUGUGAGACGGUCCAGAGUCCUACGGGAGGCGGAGGUGGGGAAUAUAGUAGACAGGGCGAGAGCGUGUGACAGAGCUACGGCGUGUGUGAAGAAGGUCUUCGGAUUGUAAAGCACUUUAAGUUGGGAGGAAGGGCAGUAAGUUAAUACCUUGCUGUUUUGACGUUACCAACAGAAUAAGCACCGGCUAACUUCGUG